AUAUAUAUGCGUGUGUGUGUCUGUGUUUGUCCCCCUAGCAUUGUUUGACAACCAAUGCUGGUGUGUUUAUGUCCCUGUUACUUAGCGGUUCGGCAAAAGAGACCGAUAGAAUAAGUACUGGGCUUACAAAAGAAUAAGUCCCGGGGUCGAGCUGCUCGAUUAAAGGCGGUGCUCCAGCAUGGCCGCAGUCAAAUGACUGAAACAAGUAAAAGAUAUAUAUAUAUAUAUAUAUAUAUAUAUACACACACACACAUACACUAUGCCCUCUUUUUUUCUCUCUUGAUCAAAUUCUGUCUUGAUCCCUUUUUCUUAAUUUCCCUACAUCUAUUCCACCAUGUUCCUCCCCCACACACUUCAAUACCAUCCACAAAUUUCCUCCUCUCAUUCUUUCUAUCUUUCAUUCACUCUCUAUACCUCUAUUACAUUACUUCAUCAACUCCCUCAUCUCUAUUCUAGGGUUUUAUCUUUCUUCAUCCACCUCUCCUUUCUUAUUCAUGCUGUCUCUUCCUCUCUUACUUUUUUCUUAGUCUCUCUCUUUCUUUCUCCAUAUUUAACUGUCUGUUCACAUGACUGCCUGUCUCACAAACUGCUGACUACCUUCCUUUCCUGUCUCUUAUCUGUCUUAUCGACCCCUCUCUGUAAUACUUUCUUCCUUUCUCUCUCUUUAACUCUCUCACCACUACUUCUGUUUUUGCUAUCCAUCAUGACAGAAAAGGGAAAACUAACCAACAGAAAGUUAAAAUAUGACUUAAGUAUUUUGUAUAUUAAGAUGGAUGACUAUAUUGACUAGAUUGCCAGGUGUCGUUACACACCACUGGCCAUAAUUGCCAGGUGUCGUUACACACCACUGGCCAUAAUGUAUAACCUCACAUUGUUACAGCCUUUGAAUGAUGUCACCCCACUGGUUAAGCAAGCAGACUGAUAUUACCUCUGAAUGGCAUGUCAGUCCAGCACAGAACUGCCUAUCUACAGCUGGGUUGACUGGAGCACCAUGAAAUGAAGUGUUUUGCACAAGAACUGAAACCAUGACCUUGCAACUGUGAGUGCAGUGCCUCAACCAGUAGGCCACACCACACACCUUCAGCAUAUGUGUGCAAGUUAGUGUGUAUCUGUAAAACAAUUUCUAGUUUGUCUCUGAAUAAGGAAAUCUGUGGUGAGGCAGCCCCUUACUACAAUAAUGUCGUAGAAGCUAGCAGAUUUAAUGGUAAAAUAACGUACGCCCCCAAUACCCUACAGUGCCAAACCAACGGAAGGUACCAAUUCCAAAUCUUUCUCUGGUUGACAUCCUCUCUUGACUAAAUGCUUCACACAACAUUCUUCACUCCUGCUCCAGAGCGUCGGCUGCGGGGUCACUCCGAAAAGCACUAUCUGCGCUGAUUUCAUCUCAAUCGAAGGAGAGGGGCUUUCUCUGUCCGGGUUACGGAUCCGUGGAAUAAGCUGCCGGUCGAGAUAGUGAAGAUGCCGACGACCGCUCGGUUCAAAGUCUCCCUUGACCACAAGUGGCCUGAACUCUUUACAUGAACACCACCCUGUACAUAACUCCAUGUCUCCCUACAUGGCCUUGCUUUUUGCUUUUUGAGCCAAAAAAUUAACUAACUAACUAACAUUUGGGGAAAAAUUGGGGUCUCUAUGAUCGUUGACACUUUUCUUAGCAUCAGUUGAUUAAUACUUCCUUGUUAAUCUUAAAUGUUUAAUAAUUAUCUGUUGUGGAAUCUUAGAUUAAAUAACAGGACUAACUUGAAGAAUGUUUUAUCACACACACCUUUCACCUACCCCCACUCCAAAAAAAAAAGAAACUGAGCUCCACUGUAAAUGUAGGAACACCAACAAAUACCACGAAAUAUGUAUUGUAAUGUAGAAGAUAUAUCAUCUGUAAGUUGAGUCUGACAUGGUCAUUUUUCAAUAGUAUCAUGGAUGAAAUAAAUUCUAGUUGCUGGGGAGGGUAGAAUUACUAAAAAUAUAUAGAGGCAGUGCUCUAGCAAGGUCACAGUCUAAUGGCUGAAAUCUGCAAACAAAUAUACUUUGGUUCCUAAAUUACUAUAGUAGUGGUGUUGAGGGAAAUGGUUUUUUGUUUUGCUUAUGUUUGAUACUUAGACAUUUAAAGGAAAGUACGAACUUCCUUUCAAUAGCCACACACACUCUGUCUGGCUCUCUCUCUCUCCUUCAGAAGCAGUCUGUUCUGUUUCUAUUGUGGCUGUAACCAGUAACAUUUUUUUGUGUGGUUCUCUUCUUUUGUCUUUGCAUCUAUUACAGGAGAGGGGUUUAACUAUUAUAAACUUGGGUUUUAUUACAUAAAGUGCAUGUGCAUGCAUGCAUGCAUACAUACAUACCUAUAUAUACGCAUAUACAUACAUCUAUAUACACACACAUGGGGUUUCUCUAUAUUUAGUCUACAUAUCAUUUGAUGUCUGCUUUGCCAUGCUGACAUGGGUUGGACAGAUCUAUUCCAGUAUAUCAUUUUUUUUUUUUCGUGAUUUUUUCCAGUUGGAAACCCUUCCUUGUAGCAACCACUGCACAGCAUGGACUGGGUAUAUUAUACCGUGCUGCCAGACCUAGAGGUUAUCUGCUGGGACCAAAACCUCUGGUCCGCUUUGUAGUGUAUAAGAUUUUAUUCAAAGUUACUGCUCUCCUGGAUCAGCUGCCCUCGCUGCAGCUUCUAUAACCCUCAUCUCCUCCAUGCAGUUAACACAGACCCCUUUUUUCUUGCUGUCGGUGUUGUUCAUAGUACCCAACUUCUUACAGAUGUAGCCUUCGUUAUGGCUGAGAAGCCAUGUCUCCAUGAUGUUGGGAAUACAUUGAAAUUGUCGUGGCCAAAUUUAUUUACUAUCACCAAUCACUUUAUUUCAUGGAUCUUGCUAAUAAAAGUACUAAGUUUUUUUUUGUGCUAGGACUAAAGUCCUAUAUAUAUACACAUGUAUAUUCCAAGUUCAAAAGAAGUUAUGUCUGACUAUUUAAAAUAGCAAUUUCAAUGAUAAGACUGAAAGCGAAGAGCCAUAAACAAAGCAAAGUGUAUUUUGUCAGACUAAAAGUAGGGGGUCAUUAGACAACCAAGCUGAAUAUUUCGCAGGGUUUGUUCCAAUUUUGCACUCUAACAGAUUCUAUUGUCAAAAUCUGCUUUAUGCAGGCACCCUCUUGUCGAAAUCUGCCUUAUGCAGGUACUCUCUUGUCGAAAUCUGCCUUAUGCAGGUACUCUCUUGUCGAAAUCUGCCUUAUGCAGGUACUCUCUUGUCGAAAUCUGCCUUAUGCAGGUACUCUCUUGUCGAAAUCUGCCUUAUGCAGGCACUCUCUUGUCGAAAUCUGCCUUAUGCAGGCACUCUCGUCGAAAUCUGCCUUAUGCAGGUACUCUCUUGUCGAAAUCUGCCUUAUGCAGGCACUCUCUUGUCGAAAUCUGCCUUAUGCAGGUACUCUCUUGUCGAAAUCUGCCUUAUGCAGGUACUCUCUUGUCGAAAUCUGCCUUAUGCAGGCACUCUCUUGUCGAAAUCUGCCUUAUGCAGGCACUCUCUUGUCGAAAUCUGCCUUAUGCAGGCACUCUCUUGUCGAAAUCUGCCUUAUGCAGGCACUCUCUUGUCGAAAUCUGCCUUAUGCAGGUACUCUCUUGUCGAAAUCUCCCUCAUGUAGAUACCUUGUUGUUAAGGUCAGCCCUGUCGGUAUCUAACAUUUACUGUUGAUGAUCUGCAAGGCCGAGUUUACAAAUGACGGUCUAUUUUUGCACCAUUUGUCUCUUUGGCAAUGCCCCUCUUACCAAUCCUCUGUGACCACCCGUCUUGUAUUGGGAAAGGUGCAUUGUCUAAUAACUCUAUAUUUUUAUAUUUUGUCAAGUAACAAAUCAAGCACUUAAUUCUACUUGUUGAGUGAUAAUUAUUAUUAUUAUUAUUAUUGAGUAGCAUCUAGUCAGCUAAGCCCUGCUGUGAACAAGCCUUUAACAGAGAGACCACAAGUCAUGCAUAUCAAAUAUAUAGUAGCCAUCAGUUUUUGGCUGUGGCCAUUACAAUUUUAUUGCCGAGGAAGGAGAGGAGGGGACAUUUUAAAUUCUGAGAUUUAAGGACUUCGAGCACGAAGCCCUGGAGAAUUUGUUGAACAAUUUACAUACUACAUCAAGCAAGUCGAUCGAUGUGGUUGAAGUUGUAUCAGCGGCUCAUGUGGUUCCUGGUUAAAGUCGCAGAACUAUUGAGGUCAGGUGGUCCCUCACUGGUUCUACUUUUAAGGGAGACGUUAGGGUGAGUGUCAGGGAUGUCACCUGACCAUGGAUAAUGUUUAUAAGCUGUAACUAUCCAACCCCUACUUGUAUUGAGAUUAAGAGUCCUAUGUAUGUAUGCAUGCAUGUGUGUGUAUGUAUGUAUAUAUAUAUAUAUAUAUUUCAGAUUUAUGUUUUACUGAUAUGAUACACAUAUAUAUAUAUAUAUAUAUAUACACACACACACACACACACACAUACACAUGUUGUGUGUGUGUAUGAUAUACACACACAUAUAUCUAUAUAUAUGUGUGUGUAUAUAUAUAUAUAUAUAUAACAUUUUUUUUCCAAUUUUGGAUAAGUUGUGUAUAAAUUGUAACUUGAAAAGAAACUAACAAAAGCAACUGUCGUUGGUUUACGCAAAAAAUAUUUCAAUGGGUUUUUUUUUUAAAUAAUUUUAUUUUUUUCCUUUUCCACAUUGAAUUUGCAGUUUGGCUGGUAAAUUUGCUGUAAAGAAAUUGUCUCAUUUCAUGCAAAAAAAAAAAAAAAAAAAAACAAAAAAGAAAGAAAAAAAAACGAAAGAAAAAGGAAAGGAAAAAUAUACCUCUUGUAAAUAAAUAAAUAAAUAAUUUCUUUUUGACCAAAUAUUCAGAACUUCUGGGAAGUUUUAGUUGGUACCGGUGGGAGCAACGGAAUCGUAAUGCGAUUGUUAAAAAACAAAAAAAACAAAAAAAAAAAAAAAACAUGUUUAAACAAUAAAAAACACAUUGUCAAUUCAUGAUGUAUAUAAUAAAAAUGUGGACAGAUGAUUAUGAUUAUUAUUAUUAUUAUUAUUAUUAUUAAUACUACAACUGCUA
rnacentral:lncRNA from 1 species